AUACGGCGGAUGCGAGCGUUAUCCGGAUUUAUUGGGUUUAAAGGGAGCGUAGGUGGGAUAUUAAGUCAGCUGUGAAAGUUUGGGGCUCAACCUUAAAAUUGCAGUUGAUACUGGUUUCCUUGAGUACGGUACAGGUGGGCGGAAUUCGUGGUGUAGCGGUGAAAUGCUUAGAUAUCACGAAGAACUCCGAUCGCGAAGGCAGCUCACCGGGCCGGAACUGACACUGAUGCUCGAAAGUGCGGGUAUCAAACAGGAUUAGAUACCCAGGUAGUCCGCACAGUAAACGAUGAAUACUCGCUGUUUGCGAUACACUGUAAGCGGCCAAGCGAAAGCGUUAAGUAUUCCACCCGGGGAGUACGCCGGCAACGGUGAAACUCAAAGGAAUUGACGGGG
rnacentral:rRNA from 1 species